rnacentral:rRNA from 1 species
ACUCCUACGGGAGGCAGCAGUGGGAAUAUUGCACAAUGGGCAGCAAGCCUGAUGCAGCCAUGCCGCGUGUGUGAAGAAGGCCUUCGGGUUGAUGAAGCACUUUCAGUUGUGGAGGAAAGGUUAGUCGCUAAUUAUCGGCCUAGCUGUGAUCGUUAUGCCAACAGAAGAAGCACCGGCUAACUCCGUGCCAGCAGCCGCGGUAAUACGGAGGGUGCGAGCGUUAAUCGGAAUUACUGGGCGUAAAGCGCGUGUAGGUGGCUUGUUAAGCCAGAUGUGAAAGCCCGGCU